rnacentral:tRNA from 1 species
GCGAUAGUGGUACAGUUGGUAGUACGUCGCCUUGCCAAGGCGAAGAUCGCGGGUUCGAGUCCCGUCUAUCGCU